UUGCCAUAAUUUAUAAAAUUAAUUUUGUUUCCAUACAUAAAUAGUUAAAUAAAAAAGGUAGAGAAUAAAAAUAAAAUAAAAUAAAUACACGUUUGGAAAAGUGGUUUGGCGGGAAAAUAACGCACCAGGAAUUGACACGUGUCGUCUCUUUUAAUAUAUAUAGUAAUAGAUGUGUACUUAUCAAUAUCAAUAAAACCUCGAUCUUCUCAUAUAUGGACGUAACUAACCAUUUAAGUCGAAUUUACAUAGAUGAACCAAACACAACCUACAAUCAAUUUUGAUAUUAGAGGAUCGAGUUCAAUUAUCGAGUCGAAUCAAUUAUUGAAAAGUCUACCUACAUGAAAGUGAUGAAACACACACAGAGUCACACACCACAACGUUUUAACGUUUAGGUGGGAUAUUAUUACACUAGUCAUCUAGACAACUCACACGAUGUGUCAAUAUUUGAGCAUUGGGCCUACACCAAUCAACACAGUCCCAUAACUAAGGCAGAGCCAUAUAUUGGUAGAACAUCUUUAAUUUGCAAAACAAAAAUUCCCAUUUUUUUUCUAGAAGAAAAUGACAACACAAUAUUUAUUUAAAAUAAAUUUUUAUUUUCUCUUGAGGGGUUAAUUUUAAACCACAUUAUCAAAAAAAUCUAGUUAAUUUGUGUUAAUCCGUAAUAUAAGGUCCAUAUUCAAGUGGUUAGAUUUAAUUUACGCGAUAAUUUCUAGUGUUCUAGAUAACGAGACAAAUCCGUAGAACAAGUGUUCUAUAUUAAUUUGGCAUCUAGUAUCUUUUAAAUAUGAAUCACUUUCUCCUAUAAAUAAUCUUUAGUUUACAUUAGUUAAUUUGCAAAACAAUUUUAUACAUUAGUAUUUUAAAACAAAAGCUUUUCUUUUUGCAAAUUAUGAAGAUGUCAAUGAGGCCAUUUGCUACUUUUUUCCUUGUGUUCUUACUCGUCUUGACAACAGAGGUAAGUACAAAAGUAGCAGAAGCAAGGAUAUGUGCUAGUCCAAGUCACACGUUUAGAGGAAUAUGUUUUAGCAGCAGGAAUUGUGAAACUAAUUGCAAUUCUGAGAGAUUUUCUGGAGGAAGUUGUCAAGGUUUUCGUAGAAGAUGCAUGUGCACCAAGCCUUGCGCUUAAUUAACCAAUGGUGUGCCACGUGCGCGUUCCUCGUUAUCAAUAAUCAGCUUCACAUUGGUUAAAAUUUGCAUAAAUAUGUAAAAAAAAAAAAAAAACAGUUUGGCGCGCGCGUUCGCUAUACAUCAUCUUCAUUCAUCAACAAUCGAGUUGAUGCAGUGUUCUAUGUAUAUCUAUAUAUAAUCUUAUAUACAAAGUGUGUACUAAUACUUGUAUUAUAGUUGUGGUAACUUUGCAAUGUUCAAAUUUCGAACUAAUAAAUUAAUGAAAACUACAAUUCAUUAAGAAA